AGUCGAGGGGCAGCAUUUCAGUUUGCUUGCAAACUGGAGAUGGCGACCGGCGCACGGGUGAGUAACACGUAUCCAACCUGCCGAUAACUCGGGGAUAGCCUUUCGAAAGAAAGAUUAAUACCCGAUGGUAUAAUCAGACCGCAUGGUCUUAUUAUUAAAGAAUUUCGGUUAUCGAUGGGGAUGCGUUCCAUUAGGCAGUUGGUGAGGUAACGGCUCACCAAACCUUCGAUGGAUAGGGGUUCUGAGAGGAAGGUCCCCCACAUUGGAACUGAGACACGGUCCAAACUCCUACGGGAGGCAGCAGUGAGGAAUAUUGGUCAAUGGGCGCAGGCCUGAACCAGCCAAGUAGCGUGAAGGAUGACUGCCCUAUGGGUUGUAAACUUCUUUUAUAUGGGAAUAAAGUUUUCCACGUGUGGAAUUUUGUAUGUACCAUAUGAAUAAGGAUCGGCUAACUCCGUGCCAGCAGCCGCGGUAAUACGGAGGAUCCGAGCGUUAUCCGGAUUUAUUGGGUUUAAAGGGAGCGUAGGUGGACAGUUAAGUCAGUUGUGAAAGUUUGCGGCUCAACCGUAAAAUUGCAGUUGAUACUGGCUGUCUUGAGUACAGUAGAGGUGGGCGGAAUUCGUGGUGUAGCGGUGAAAUGCUUAGAUAUCACGAAGAACUCCGAUUGCGAAGGCAGCUCACUGGACUGCAACUGACACUGAUGCUCGAAAGUGUGGGUAUCAAACAGGAUUAGAUACCCUGGUAGUCCACACAGUAAACGAUGAAUACUCGCUGUUUGCGAUAUACAGUAAGCGGCCAAGCGAAAGCAUUAAGUAUUCCACCUGGGGAGUACGCCGGCAACGGUGAAACUCAAAGGAAUUGACGGGGGCCCGCACAAGCGGAGGAACAUGUGGUUUAAUUCGAUGAUACGCGAGGAACCUUACCCGGGCUUAAAUUGCAUUUGAAUAANUUGGAAACAGGNUAGCCGCAAGGCAAAUGUGAAGGUGCUGCAUGGUUGUCGUCAGCUCGUGCCGUGAGGUGUCGGCUUAAGUGCCAUAACGAGCGCAACCCUUAUCUUUAGUUACUAACAGGUCAUGCUGAGGACUCUAGAGAGACUGCCGUCGUAAGAUGUGAGGAAGGUGGGGAUGACGUCAAAUCAGCACGGCCCUUACGUCCGGGGCUACACACGUGUUACAAUGGGGGGUACAGAAGGCAGCUACCUGGUGACAGGAUGCUAAUCCCAAAAGCCUCUCUCAGUUCGGAUCGAAGUCUGCAACCCGACUUCGUGAAGCUGGAUUCGCUAGUAAUCGCGCAUCAGCCAUGGCGCGGUGAAUACGUUCCCGGGCCUUGUACACACCGCCCGUCAAGCCAUGAAAGCCGGGGGUACCUGAAGUACGUAACCGCAAGGAG
rnacentral:rRNA from 1 species